CACGCACGGCCGAGGAAAGGAAAGGGGAUCUGUGGAUCGGCUUCAGGUCCAUCUCUUCCCCGCUACCCACGUAAGACGCCGAGCUGCAGACGCCCUGUCCCGCAGACAGCCGGUUCGGAGUCCCUGCGGCUCGGGCGACGUUAGGGAUAGGCAGAAGUUGGGAUUCUAUCUACCAGUCCUAACAUGAAAGUGAAAGAAGUUAAGAAGCUAUGGGACAAAAGAACAAGGAGAAAGGCAUCUAUGGACAGCUCUCUUCCUCAGAUAAAACCUGGACACCCCAACCCUUUCUCCAGGAUUCUCCAAGGAAAGCACUUCACUUUCCAAGACUGGGGUGACCCACCCCCAAUACUCCAAGGAGGAAAGAAGACCCUUUCUGGAUCCAGGCUCUCAAAAUCAGUUGCAAUUGUUACUCCAUAAGGUUUGAAGGAUGAUCUUUCUGUCACUGAAUUCAGUUCUAUAUUUGACAUACUGUGCUUUAUUGAUAAUGAAAUUUUAUAUUAUGUUGCUAAGGUGUUUUCCUUACCAGUCUUCAUAUACUAUCUAUCUAUGCCUAUAAAUUUCAAUGUAAAAUAUUUAUAUCAUAGUUUGCUUUGUAUUUUCUUACAAACUUCUCAAUCCCUGUAACUAUACACCUUUACAUACUACUCCAAAGAUCCUGUGAGGACAGUGCAAAGACUCAGUGAAGAAGCCACCUAGCAAGAAACCUACUGUCAUUGCUGACACACAGAAAACAACACUGUUUCUAACAGCAUGCUUGAAUACAUAUCAAGGAGCAGAUACUCCUAGGGAAGAUCGUGUGAAAGGUUCUGGGCUCACUACAGCAUAAUCCUUCUAAUAAUUAAAAAAGUCAGCCAUGCAGCCUAUUUCUCCAGUUAGGUGUUAGAAGGACCAUGCUGAAUCUUCUACUGUACUUGUAUAACUUUCUUUUGCUUUGCUAUCUCCCAGUAACUCAGGGAGGGCAUCAGUAAGUUAAAUUAAAUACACAUAAGUUUAUCUCUCCAAAGGAUACUGAUUACAUAUUUACUUGUUAAGUGGCCUUUGAUUGUUUUAGUGUCUCUGUGCCUCAAUAUCCUUAUCUGUAAGCAGAGACAACACCAACACAUGUCUCAUGAGUUUUGUGAUGGCAAAUGAGUUAGCAUAGAAAUCACUAAUUCCCUUACUCAGUCCCUUGAAAAGAUGCCUCUUACUCCGUGAUGACUGUACUGCUUUCUCUAAGAACAUAAACAAUUCUUAAAGGCUUGGAACAUUCUAGUCUUUUGUAAACUAAGCAACUCAGGAUUCAAAGCCAACCAGCUACUGAAUGUUUCAAGGUAGGUCCAGCAGAACAAAAUGCUUCCUCGAAAAACCAAAAAAUAAAAAAUUAAAUAAAAAAUUAAA